rnacentral:tRNA from 1 species
UUAAUUGAAACCAAAUCCGCGGUUUAUUACUGUUAAUAAUAUAAAUGAGAAUAAUUUCUCCAAUUAAG